rnacentral:rRNA from 1 species
UACAGAGGUCUCAAGCGUUGUUCGGAUUCAUUGGGCGUAAAGGGCGCGUAGGCGGCGGGGUAAGUCGGGUGUGAAAUCUCAGAGCUCAACUCUGAAAUGGCACUUGAUACUGCUCUGCUAGAGGACUGGAGAGGAGAUCGGAAUUCACGGUGUAGCAGUGAAAUGCGUAGAUAUCGUGAGGAAGACCAGUGGCGAAGGCGGAUCUCUGGACAGCUCCUGGACGCUGAGGCGCGAAGGCUAGGGGAGCAAACGGGAU